AAUAUCGGGCAUGUAGAUUGUCUUUCAGUUACUGUGAUUUAGAAAGGGGGCUUGGAUGCUAGCUGAUUAGCUCGUGUUGUCUAGCAGCGAUAAGUAACUGGUUAUUGUCUAUAAAUAAAGCUAUUGCUAGCACUGGUGAAUAACGAUGAAGGGGUAUCGACGAGAAAAGAGAGAGUGAAGUGCAAGAAUGAGUAACAGUGUACGCGUAGAGAUCGAUUAGAUACAUACGCUCGAAAAAAUUUACAAGGGCCGACACGUACGAUUAGGCGGGAUAUGCUGAGGAGCAUGCAAGAUUAGAUAGAGUGGUAGUCCGCGCCAGGAAAUGCGCGAAGGGGAUGUCGGGUACAAUGUGCCAGGUUGUAUGGAAGUUUACGCAAUAAGUCAGCAGUCUUUGGACUACGGUUACAAGGAACAUUCUCAAAGGAACUUACGGGGGUACUCUCAAGGGGUGGAGUUGCUGUUGUAAUUAGCAGCAACGCGACCAUGCUUACCAGGCCUUGUGGUCCAGGUAACUUUCCAGAGAAGUAUGAAUGCGGUCAGGAGCAGUCACUCAGGUGCUGCAAAGCUGUUGUCAGCGGUAUUCGUGAGAUCCUGGGUUAAAAAGGUUACGAGCGCAACCCUGGGAAAUCCAGCCAGCGAAAUGAUGCGGAACUCUAAGGAGUCCACCGGUGUCAAACCGGAGGAAGGUGGAGAGGACGUCAAGUCGUCAUGUCCCUUACGGCCAGGGCUACACACGUACUACAAUGGUAGGGACAGAGGGCUGCAAGCCGGCGACAGGAGCCAAUCCCAGAAACCCUAUCUCAGUCCGGAUUGGAGUCUGCAAUUUGACUCCAUGAAGUCGGAAUCGCUAGUAAUCGCAGAUCACCCUUGCUGCGGUGAAUACUUUCCCGGGCCUUGUUCACUCCCCCCUUUUCUCCAUGUGUGUUUUCUCACCAGAUUCAGUUAGUCCUCAGUCAGUAGGACGAAGGAAAGGUAGAGUCGUGUA
rnacentral:rRNA from 1 species